GUCCUCUGCUCGCUCGCCUGCCAAACGCCCACACGCCCUUCGUAGUCCACCAUGCUGCCGGCCGCCGCGGCAACCUGCGAUCGUGGAGGCGCGGCAAACUGAGAUCCAAGAGCCGACGCCCUGUCCGCGACAGUUGUCAUCGUCGCCUCCCCCGCGAUCGCCCGGGCCCUCGCCAUCAUUGUCGCCGUCGCGUUCGGCGUUCGUCGCCGCCUCCACGCCAGCUAGGUGCCUAGGUCAAGCGACGGCAGCUCGUUGGACACACCCAGGGAGACCACGGUGGCGGCUGCCUCUUCCGACGCCAUACGCAAGCGCGCCGUGCCUUCUCCACGCCGCGCCGCCGGGACCACGAUGACGGCUCGACAUGCACAAGCCGCCUGGUCAGAUGUUCCUGGAGCGUGCGUCUAUGUCCGACGCACGGACAGGCCGCCGGAUCAGAUGUUCCUAGGAUCCAAUCUUGGCUCAAGAUCCAUUCUGUCCUUUAUAUGUUGGAGUUUGGGUUAUAUCCAAUCCACACUACCCUUGACCUCGUCGGUGACUAAUAAAGCACCACUGAUGCUUGUAGUGUCAACGAAUAAAGAGAGCAAGGAAAACUAUAUUGGUCCUGCACCUCUGGAAGAAAUGGCCAGUGUUCAGGUUUGCCAAAGGAACAGCUGCAAUUGGCAGAGUAUCUACUGAAACUUGAUUAUGCCAUAAACAAACUAGGUAAGCUUAACAAUGUUUUCUUUAACGGAUUUCAGAGCUCUUGCCAUUCCUGCAAAUCGAAGUACUUGAGUUUCUCUCUAAAACUAUUUGUUUAUUUUGUCUGGCGGUGGCAAUGAGGCUCUUAAAGAUGCACAAGGCAGUGCUUACACUUCUUUUUGGGAAGUGCGGCAACCAAAAUAUUUAGAGAAAGCUUCAUGUCUAUAUUCUGGUGAUGGGCAGCUAGAAGACUGAAGAAUUACAUAAAGGUUUAUUGGUGACUGCUGGUGUCGAUGGGGCAUGAAGAAAUCAUUAAGAGAACUCAUAUUUAGUUCUAUUUUAUUAUGCCAGACAUAGUUGCAAACUUGUAGUGAGAGAUGAUGUUUUUAUUCUACUAUGUGGUCAUGUUUAUUUUAGCAGUACUCUGGUCAUUGUGUAAUUUGCUAUGGUUGACACAUUUGAAGUUAACGAAGGUUGAGUUCUUAUACGUGA